ensembl:lncRNA
UUCAUAAUCAGAUUUUGUCUAUAAUGUGUUGACAUAUUUAUAAUUAAUUGAAUGGGAACUGACAUGUCAACCUACGCUAAUCUCAUAUCUCCCUCCCUUACACCCACACCGGAGAGUCCAAUCACACCGUUCACGUCACACUUAACAGGGCCUUAAUAUAGUACUCCCACUCCACAGCCAAAAGAAGAAACAGUAAUCACAACGUUUCUAAUUAAUGUUGAGUAAUUCUUCUCAUAAUCUCUCAUCACUUGCUUUCAGUUUAGGGAAUAUUUUACACACUGAAGCCAUUUUUUUUUCAUGAACUUUUCACAUCGAUUUUUGAACGUUUUGUUUGUAUCAUGUCAGGAUGAGCUGCCCACAGAAGAGCCCUUUCCCUCUCGAGAGGAGGAGGAGCUAAAAUACUCAGCAAAAACAGCUAUAUACACACAAGAAAAUGAGGGUGAAACAACUUCUCCGAUUACACAGUCUCCAGGGGAGAUUACACUGGUAGGAAUAUACACUACCAACAGUUUGGGGUUGAUAAGACUUUUUGAUGUUUUUGGGGGGAAAAUGGUUAUGCUUACCAAAGCUGCAUUUUUAUUUGAUUAA